UACGUAGGGUGCAAGCGUUGUCCGGAUUUAUUGGGCGUAAAGAGCUCGUAGGCGGUUUGGCAAGUCGGGUGUGAAACCUCCAGGCUCAACCUGGAGACGCCACUCGAUACUGCUAUGACUUGAGUCUGGUAGGGGAUCACGGAAUUCCUGGUGUAGCGGUGAAAUGCAUAGAUAUCAGGAGGAACACCGGUGGCGAAGGCGGGUCUCUGGGCCGAUACUGACGCUGAGGAGCGAAAGCGUGGGGAGCGAACAGG
rnacentral:rRNA from 1 species